CACAUACUGUGAGCUCGAUGAGUAGGGCGGGACACGUGGUAUCCUGUCUGAAUAUGGGGGGACCAUCCUCCAAGGCUAAAUACUCCUGACUGACCGAUAGUGAACCAGUACCGUGAGGGAAAGGCGAAAAGAACCCCGGCGAGGGGAGUGAAAAAGAACCUGAAACCGUGUACGUACAAGCAGUGGGAGCACGCUUAGGCGUGUGACUGCGUACCUUUUGUAUAAUGGGUCAGCGACUUAUAUUCUGUAGCAAGGUUAACCGAAUAGGGGAGCCGAAGGGAAACCGAGUCUUAACUGGGCGUUAAGUUGCAGGGUAUAGACCCGAAACCCGGUGAUCUAGCCAUGGGCAGGUUGAAGGUUGGGUAACACUAACUGGAGGACCGAACCGACUAAUGUUGAAAAAUUAGCGGAUGACUUGUGGCUGGGGGUGAAAGGCCAAUCAAACCGGGAGAUAGCUGGUUCUCCCCGAAAGCUAUUUAGGUAGCGCCUCGUGAAUUCAUCUCCGGGGGUAGAGCACUGUUUCGGCAAGGGGGUCAUCCCGACUUACCAACCCGAUGCAAACUGCGAAUACCGGAGAAUGUUAUCACGGGAGACACACGGCGGGUGCUAACGUCCGUCGUGAAGAGGGAAACAACCCAGACCGCCAGCUAAGGUCCCAAAGUCAUGGUUAAGUGGGAAACGAUGUGGGAAGGCCCAGACAGCCAGGAUGUUGGCUUAGAAGCAGCCAUCAUUUAAAGAAAGCGUAAUAGCUCACUGGUCGAGUCGGCCUGCGCGGAAGAUGUAACGGGGCUAAACCAUGCACCGAAGCUGCGGCAGCGACGCUUAUGCGUUGUUGGGUAGGGGAGCGUUCUGUAAGCCUGCGAAGGUGUGCUGUGAGGCAUGCUGGAGGUAUCAGAAGUGCGAAUGCUGACAUAAGUAACGAUAAAGCGGGUGAAAAGCCCGCUCGCCGGAAGACCAAGGGUUCCUGUCCAACGUUAAUCGGGGCAGGGUGAGUCGACCCCUAAGGCGAGGCCGAAAGGCGUAGUCGAUGGGAAACAGGUUAAUAUUCCUGUACUUGGUGUUACUGCGAAGGGGGGACGGAGAAGGCUAUGUUGGCCGGGCGACGGUUGUCCCGGUUUAAGCGUGUAGGCUGGUUUUCCAGGCAAAUCCGGAAAAUCAAGGCUGAGGCGUGAUGACGAGGCACUACGGUGCUGAAGCAACAAAUGCCCUGCUUCCAGGAAAAGCCUCUAAGCAUCAGGUAACAUCAAAUCGUACCCCAAACCGACACAGGUGGUCAGGUAGAGAAUACCAAGGCGCUUGAGAGAACUCGGGUGAAGGAACUAGGCAAAAUGGUGCCGUAACUUCGGGAGAAGGCACGCUGAUAUGUAGGUGAAGUCCCUCGCGGAUGGAGCUGAAAUCAGUCGAAGAUACCAGCUGGCUGCAACUGUUUAUUAAAAACACAGCACUGUGCAAACACGAAAGUGGACGUAUACGGUGUGACGCCUGCCCGGUGCCGGAAGGUUAAUUGAUGGGGUCAGCGCAAGCGAAGCUCUUGAUCGAAGCCCCGGUAAACGGCGGCCGUAACUAUAACGGUCCUAAGGUAGCGAAAUUCCUUGUCGGGUAAGUUCCGACCUGCACGAAUGGCGUAAUGAUGGCCAGGCUGUCUCCACCCGAGACUCAGUGAAAUUGAACUCGCUGUGAAGAUGCAGUGUACCCGCGGCAAGACGGAAAGACCCCGUGAACCUUUACUAUAGCUUGACACUGAACAUUGAGCCUUGAUGUGUAGGAUAGGUGGGAGGCUUUGAAGUGUGGACGCCAGUCUGCAUGGAGCCGGCCUUGAAAUACCACCCUUUAAUGUUUGAUGUUCUAACGUUGACCCGUAAUCCGGGUUGCGGACAGUGUCUGGUGGGUAGUUUGACUGGGGCGGUCUCCUCCUAAAGAGUAACGGAGGAGCACGAAGGUUGGCUAAUCCUGGUCGGACAUCAGGAGGUUAGUGCAAUGGCAUAAGCCAGCUUGACUGCGAGCGUGACGGCGCGAGCAGGUGCGAAAGCAGGUCAUAGUGAUCCGGUGGUUCUGAAUGGAAGGGCCAUCGCUCAACGGAUAAAAGGUACUCCGGGGAUAACAGGCUGAUACCGCCCAAGAGUUCAUAUCGACGGCGGUGUUUGGCACCUCGAUGUCGGCUCAUCACAUCCUGGGGCUGAAGUAGGUCCCAAGGGUAUGGCUGUUCGCCAUUUAAAGUGGUACGCGAGCUGGGUUUAGAACGUCGUGAGACAGUUCGGUCCCUA
rnacentral:rRNA from 1 species